rnacentral:rRNA from 1 species
CUCUUCGGAGGUACUCGAGCGGCGGACGGCUGAGUAACGCGUAGGAACGUACCCCAAACUGAGGGAUAAGCACCAGAAAUGGUGUCUAAUACCGCAUGUGCUCUUCGGAGUAAAGCUUCGGCGGUUUGGGAACGGCCUGCGUAAGAUUAGCUUGUUGGUGAGGUAAUGGCUCACCAAGGCGAUGAUCUUUAGCUGGUCUGAGAGGAUGAUCAGCCAGACUGGGACUGAGACACGGCCCAGACUCCUACGGGAGGCAGCAGUAGGGAAUUUUCCACAAUGGACGAAAGUCUGAUGGAGCAACGCCGCGUGCAGGAUGAAUGUCUUCGGAUUGUAAACUGCUUUUAUAUGUGACGAUAAUGACGGUAGCAUAUGAAUAAGGAUCGGCUAACUCCGUGCCAGCAGCCGCGGUCAUACGGAGGAUCCAAGCGUUAUCCGGAUUUACUGGGCGUAAAGAGUUGCGUAGGUGGCAUAGUAAGCGAGUAGUGAAAGCGUGGGGCUCAACCCCAUAGACAUUACUCGAACUGCUAGGCUAGAGGAUGAGAGAGGUUAUUGGAAUUCCCAGUGUAGGAGUGAAAUCCGUAGAUAUUGGGAGGAACACCGAUGGCGUAGGCAGAUAACUGGCUCAUUCCUGACACUAAGGCACGAAAGCGUGGGGAGCAAACGGGAUUAGAUACCCCGGUAGUCCACACCGUAAACUAUGGAUGCUAGCUGUUAGAGGUAUCGACCCCUCUAGUAGCGAAGCUAACGCGUUAAGCAUCCCGCCUGUGGAGUACGGUCGCAAGACUAAAACAUAAAGGAAUUGACGGGGACCCGCACAAGCGGUGGAGUGUGUUGUUUAAUUCGAUGGUAAGCGAAGAACCUUACCCAGGCUUGACAUCCUUGGAAUUUCUGCGAAAGCAGAGAGUGCUUUAUUGAGCCAAGUGACAGGUGCUGCAUGGCCGUCGUCAGCUCGUGUCGUGAGAUGUUUGGUUAAGUCCAUCAACGAGCGCAACCCUUGUGAGUAGUUGAAUUUUUCUACUCAGACUGCCCCGGCAACGGGGAGGAAGGGGGGGAUGAUGUCAGGUCAGUAUUGCCCUUACGUCUGGGGCUACAAACACACUACAAUGGCCGGUACAAAGGGCAGCCAAGUCGCGAGACGGAGCAAAUCCCAUCAAAGCCGGUCUCAGUUCGGAUAGCAGGCUGAAACUCGCCUGCUUGAAGUUGGAAUCGCUAGUAACGGUAGUCAG